CCCAAGAUGGUGCAGUGGCUUGAGUGUUGGACUACGGCACUGGAGACCUGGGUUCGAUUCCCGGCUUGGCC